GAGUUUGAUCCUGGCUCAGGAUGAACGCUGGCGGCGUGCUUAACACAUGCAAGUCGAACGAUGAAGCUGGAGCUUGCUCUGGUGGAUUAGUGGCGAACGGGUGAGUAACACGUGAGUAACCUGCCCUUGACUCUGGAAUAAGCGUUGGAAACGACGUCUAAUACCGGAUACGAGCUUCCGCCGCAUGGUGAGGAGCUGGAAAGAAUUUCGGUCAAGGAUGGACUCGCGGCCUAUCAGGUAGUUGGUGAGGUAAUGGCUCACCAAGCCUACGACGGAUAGCCGGCCUGAGAGGGUGACCGGCCACACUGGAACUGAGACACGGUCCAGACUCCUACGGGAGGCAGCAGUGGGGAAUAUUGCACAAUGGGCGCAAGCCUGAUGCAGCAACGCCGCGUGAGGGACGACGGCCUUCGGGUUGUAACCUCUUUUAGUAGGGAAGAAGCGAAAGUGACGGUACCUGCAGAAAAAGCACCGGCUAACUACGUGCCAGCAGCCGCGGUAAUACGUAGGGUGCAAGCGUUAUCCGGAAUUAUUGGGCGUAAAGAGCUCGUAGGCGGUUUGUCGCGUCUGCUGUGAAAACUGGGGGCUCAACCCCCAGCCUGCAGUGGGUACGGGCAGACUAGAGUGCGGUAGGGGAGAUUGGAAUUCCUGGUGCAGCGGUGGAAUGCGCAGAUAUCAGGAGGAACACCGAUGGCGAAGGCAGAUCUCUGGGCCGUAACUGACGCUGAGGAGCGAAAGCAUGGGGA
rnacentral:rRNA from 1 species